rnacentral:lncRNA from 1 species
UUUAUAUCUGUACUUUUGUCCACAGAAACACGCCAUAAAAAUGAUCAGAAAUAUAGUAGGCUUUUCAGGCAUAGUCUUGACAACAGUGCAGCUAUUCCCCUCCAACGGUUUUCUGAUCUGAAGAAAAAAAAAAAAAAAGAUUGUGCGUUCCCCGGAGAGAAAAGAAAAUGUUGUGCGUCGCGUGGAAUUUCGAUAUAUCGAAGUUCGGCGCGCGACACACCAUUUGAGGUAAUUCCCGUAAUUUCCUGUGCGCUACGCGUAAUCAGUAAAAUAUCGAAAUUACUCGCAACGCACAACAUUUUCCGUGAAACACUCAAAAUUCCCUGUGCUGCGGAGAUUUACUGUGUCGCGCGCUUAUUUUCUGUGUUGCGCACGCGUUUUAGGUUUGGUCCCUAACGGCGUUCCAUAGUACUACCCAUAAGAAAUUUAGUCAUGCGACGCGCGCUGUCCGAUUCGUGCAACGUGCUCAGACCAGUGUCUCAUAAGCUCGAGGCAACAUCAACUGAAUCGUGCGGAAACCGUGCGCCACUUGGAACAAAACUUGGAACCGCCUUGCACCGGGUAUUCGUUUCAUGUGGUUGAUUGGGUUGAUAUGAAUUUCUGAUAUCGUCGUUGCCUCAACGAUAUCGUCUUGCAGGUGGAGCAAUAUUCUUCCUCCGUUGAAUAAAAAUUCCAAACCCAAAUAAUGAGUGAAAUUUUGUGGAUGAUCAGAACUUCUUCAUGGAUUUCACAGAUCAGUUUCCUAUCAAUGGCCAGCCGAAUGUUCAACAGUGUCGUGUCUGUGAAAAAGUGUUCUCACAAGGCGAAGGAAUUGAUAUAUUCAGUCAGAACAGUGAUAUCCUCGAAAAAAUCCAUUUUUUCCUUUUUAUUUUUGUGCAUCCUAAUGACAAUUUGUCCAAACAUAUCUGCAUUGCCUGUUACAAUCAUCUUGCCUGGAUGAGCGAUUCCUCUCCCAACAGUGUGCCUCCGAUAAGUGAACCACCUGACUUGGGCAUUUUUGGGAACUUCAAUCAAAUGCUGGUAAUUGGAUAUCUUAUGGAACCCUCCUUAUAUCUUUAA